rnacentral:rRNA from 1 species
AUUGAACGCUGGCGGCAUGCCUUACACAUGCAAGUCGAACGGUAACAGGUCUACGGAUGCUGACGAGUGGCGAACGGGUGAGUAAUACAUCGGAACGUGCCCAGACGUGGGGGAUAACGAGGCGAAAGCUUUGCUAAUACCGCAUACGAUCUAAGGAUGAAAGCAGGGGACCGCAAGGCCUUGCGCGUUUGGAGCGGCCGAUGGCAGAUUAGGUAGUUGGUGGGAUAAAAGCUUACCAAGCCGACGAUCUGUAGCUGGUCUGAGAGGACGACCAGCCACACUGGGACUGAGACACGGCCCAGACUCCUACGGGAGGCAGCAGUGGGGAAUUUUGGACAAUGGGCGAAAGCCUGAUCCAGCAAUGCCGCGUGCAGGAUGAAGGCCUUCGGGUUGUAAACUGCUUUUGUACGGAACGAAAAGGCUCUGGCUAAUACCUGGGGCACAUGACGGUACCGUAAGAAUAAGCACCGGCUAACUACGUG